rnacentral:rRNA from 1 species
AUUGAACGCUGGCGGCAGGCCUAACACAUGCAAGUCGAACGGUAACAGGAAACAGGUUGCUGUUUCGCUGACGAGAGGCGGGCGGGAGAGAAAUGACUGGGCAACGGCCUGAUGGAUGGGGAGGACAACUGGAGACGGAAGCUGAAACCGCAUAACGUCGCAAGACCAAGGAGGGGGACCUUCGGGCCUCUUGCCAUCGGCUAUGUCCAGAUGGGAUUAGCUAGUGGGUGGGGUAAAGGCUCACCUAGGCGACGAUCCGUAGCUGGUCUGAGAGGAUGACCAGCCACACUGGAACUGAGACACGGCCCAGACUCCUACGGGAGGCAGCAGUGGGGAAUAUUGCACAAUGGGCGCAAGCCUGAUGCAGCCAUGCCGCGUGUAUGAAGAAGGCCUUCGGGUUGUAAAGCACUUUUAGCGGGGAGGAAGGGAGUUAAGUUAAUACCUCUACGCAUUGACGUUACCCGCAGAAGAAGCACCGGCUAACUCCGUG